GAUGAACGCUGGCGGCGUGCUUAACACAUGCACGUCGAACGGAAAGGCCCAAGCUUGCUUGGGUACUCGAGUGGCGAACGGGUGAGUAACACGUGGGUGAUCUGCCCUGCACUUCGGGAUAAGCCUGGGAAACUGGGUCUAAUACCGGAUAGGACGAUGGUUUGGAUGCCAUUGUGGAAAGUUUUUUCGGUGUGGGAUGAGCUCGCGGCCUAUCAGCUUGUUGGUGGGGUAAUGGCCUACCAAGGCGUCGACGGGUAGCCGGCCUGAGAGGGUGUACGGCCACAUUGGGACUGAGAUACGGCCCAGACUCCUACGGGAGGCAGCAAUGGGGAAUAUUGCACAAUGGGCGCAAGCCUGAUGCAGCGACGCCGCGUGGGGGAUGACGGCCUUCGGGUUGUAAACUCCUUUCGCUAGGGACGAAGCGUUUUUGUGACGGUACCUGGAGAAGAAGCACCGGCUAACUACGUG
rnacentral:rRNA from 1 species